UACAGAGGUCCCAAGCGUUGUUCGGAUUCACUGGGCGUAAAGGGUGCGUAGGUGGUGGGGUAAGUCGGAUGUGAAAUCUCCGAGCUCAACUCGGAAAUGGCAUUGGAAACUACCCUGCUAGAGGGUCGGAGGGGGACUGGAAUGCUUGGUGUAGCAGUGAAAUGCGUAGAUAUCAAGCGGAACACCAGUGGCGAAGGCGGCAUCCUGGACCGAUAUGACGCUGAGGCGCGAAGCCAGGGAGCAAACGGG
rnacentral:rRNA from 1 species